rnacentral:rRNA from 1 species
UGGGGUAUAUUGCACAAUGGAGGGAACUCUGAUGCAGCGACGCCGCGUGAACGAAGAAGGCUUUCGAGUCGUAAAGUUCUUUUAUAUGGGAAGAUAAUGACGGUACCAUAAGAAAAAGCCCCGGCUAACUACGUGCCAGCAGCCGCGGUAAUACGUAGGGGGCUAGCGUUGUCCGGAAUCACUGUGCGUAAAGGGUUCGCAGGCGGAAAUGCAAGUCAGGUGUAAAAGGCAGUAGCUUAACUACUGUAAGCAUUUGAAACUGCAUAUCUUGAGAAGAGUAGAGGUAAGUGGAAUUUUUAGUGUAGCGGUGAAAUGCGUAGAUAUUAAAAAGAAUACCGGUGGCGAAGGCGACUUACUGGGCUCAUUCUGACGCUGAGGAACGAAAGCGUGGGUAGCAAACAGG